GACGAACGCUGGCGGCGUGCUUAAUACAUGCAAGUCGAGCGAGGUCCAUCUGGUGGCAACACCAGUGAAGGCCGAGCGGCGAACGGGUGAGUAACACGUGAGCAACCUGCCCCGAAGUCUGGAAUAACAUCGGGAAACCGGUGCUAAUACCGGAUCGCCCCACCUGACCGCAUGAUCGGGUGAGGAAAGAUUUAUCGCUUCGGGAGGGGCUCGCGGCCUAUCAGCAGUUGGUGGGGUAACGGCCUACCAAGGCGUCGACGGGUAGCUGGUCUGAGAGGACGACCAGCCACACUGGGACUGAGACACGGCCCAGACUCCUACGGGAGGCAGCAGUAGGGAAUCUUGCGCAAUGGGCGAAAGCCUGACGCAGCAACGCCGCGUGGGGGAUGACGGCCUCGG
rnacentral:rRNA from 1 species